GUCAGGUGUGGUGGCCCAUGUCUGUAGUCCGAGCUACUUGGGAGGCUGAGGUGGAAGGAUCGCUUGAGUCCAGGAGUUCAAGGCUGCAGUGAGCCAUGAUUGUGCCACUGCACUCCAGCCUAGGCAACAAAGUGAGAUCCUGCCUCUA
ensembl:misc_RNA Metazoa_SRP Metazoan signal recognition particle RNA